rnacentral:misc_RNA from 1 species
GACCAAGGGCAAGAUAUCCACAAUUUUAUGGUGCAUACCAGGAGUUGCUUCGCAUUGGAGCUGUUUUCCCUCAGAGAGCUGAGAAAGCAGCCCCCGUGUUCACACCCCCCCAAACACAUCCGCUGACUUCAUACCCACAGAAUCUGCGGAAUCCUGAAUCCGGUCAGGAAGCAGCUGAGUCUUCUGCAGAGGCUGAAUAUCCGGCCUUGAGCUUGACAGAGAUCCAGAAUGCACGUGGUAUCAUGGAUGUCCUUGCUGAAAUGUUGAGUGCAUUAGAUCCUGAAAACAAAGAGGGGCUGAAACAAGAGGUGAUUGUUGAUUUGGUGGAACAAUGUCGUACCUACAAGCAAAGGGUAGUACACCUUGUAAACUCGACUACGGAUGAAUCACUGCUCUGCCAAGGGCUAGCGCUGAAUGAUGAGUUGCAGCGUGUAUUGGCCAAGCAUGAAUCUAUUGCCUCCGGAACUCCUGUUCAAGUAGAAAAAACAAAUUCUGAACCACCUCAACCUCUUGUAAAUGUUGAUGCUCCACUUAUUGAUACCGGGGACCACAAACAAUCAGACCGAGGAUCUACAUCAAAUGCUAGCCUAGGGACACAGUUGCUUCUUCCUGCUCCUGCUUCGGCUAACAUUCCAUCAACAACAACAAAAGUUGACCCGAAAAUUGAUCUUCUGAGUGGAGAUGACUUCAGCUCACCUACAACUGAGAAUGUCCUGGCCCUUGUUCCUGUUGGUGGAGAACCUCAGCCUGCAAGUCCUGUUUCACAGCAGAAUGCCCUUGCUCUUGUUGACAUGUUUUCAUCACCCAGCAACUCACAAUCUCCAUAUUCAGCAGGGCAGACACAUGCUUCGUCCCCUCAAUUUCGACAACAGAGUUUCACUCCUACCCAGUCAGCUUUGUACCCAAAUGGAAGUGUCCCCGGAACUACAUAUACACAAGGCUCUAACACGGCCUGGAACGAACAGAUAUCACAGCAACAGCAGCAGUCACCUUCUCCAGUUUAUGGUGGUCAAAGCAGUUCGUUUCCACCACCUCCAUGGGAAGCUGAGGCAGCAGAUAACAGCCAAACAAUGGGGAAUCCUCAUGCUCAACCGAUGCAAAAUAAUCAGUUGUUGCCAGGUAGUCCACAUGCCCUACCAAUGCACAACAAUCAGAUAAUGUCUGGUAGUCCAAAUGCUUUAUCAAUGCAAAAUAGCCAGCUGAUGGCAACUAACAACCAGCAAUUGGCUGGUGGUUCACAUGUCCAUGGUAUGUAUGCACAACCGAUCACUGGUGGACAGCCUGCAAUGAUGAAUCAGGCUAUGCAAAACAAUCAGAUGGUAGGCUUGCUUCCUCAACCAAUCCAAGGUGGACAAUCAAUGGGUAUGUUUCCACAACAAAUGCCACCUGGGCACAUGGCUUAUAUGUAUGCCCAACAACAAAUGUAUGGAAACCAGAUGGCUGGCUAUGGCUAUGGCUAUGCUCAACCACAGAACACACAAUUUCUUAAUCAGAGAAUGUCUGGGCUCUCUGUGAGGGAUGACGGUGUCCUAAAUAAUUCGUCCUAUCCAGUUUCAACUCCUUCAUACAUACCAUCUGGAAAGCCCUCAAAGCCAGAGGAUAAACUAUUUGGUGAUCUUGUUGACAUUUCAAAGUUCAAAUCACCCAAAACAACUCCUGGCAGAGCUGGGAGCAUGUGACAGUGACUGGUUUCUGCACCUUCCUUUUUUUCUUCAAUAUAUUUCGACAUCUAUUUAGUAAUCAAGCUUGCGUUUGUUCUGAUUUUUCGCUCAACAGUUAAUUUUCACACAUUGUUCCUUUUAGUCCAUAUGCAUUUAAUGGUUCUUUGUGAGUUUGUGUACAUUUCUUGUAGAGAGUAAAACCCCAAGAUCACAAAGAAAGUUGAGGAGCUUCCUUUUUUU